UUGCACGCUGGCGGCAGGCCUAACACAUGCCAGUCGAACGGUAACAGGAAGCAGCUUGCUGCUUUGCUGACGAGUGGCGGACGGGUGAGUAAUGUCUGGGAAACUGCCCGAUGGAGGGGGAUAACUACUGGAAACGGUAGCUAAUACCGCAUAACGUCGCAAGACCAAAGAGGGGGACCUUAGGGCCUCUUGCCAUCGGAUGUGCCCAGAUGGGAUUAGCUAGUAGGUGGGGUAACGGCUCACCUAGGCGACGAUCCCUAGCUGGUCUGAGAGGAUGACCAGCCACACUGGAACUGAGACACGGUCCAGACUCCUACGGGAGGCAGCAGUGGGGAAUAUUGCACAAUGGGCGCAAGCCUGAUGCAGCCAUGCCGCGUGUAUGAAGAAGGCCUUCGGGUUGUAAAGUACUUUCAGCGGGGAGGAAGGGAGUAAAGUUAAUACCUUUGCUCAUUGACGUUACCCGCAGAAGAAGCACCGGCUAACUCCGUG
rnacentral:rRNA from 1 species